GGUUAAGCGACUAAGCGUACACGGUGGAUGCCCUGGCAGUCAGAGGCGAUGAAGGACGUGCUAAUCUGCGAAAAGCGCCGGCGAGGUGAUAUGAACCUUUGACCCGGCGAUGUCCGAAUGGGGAAACCCAGUGUGAUUCGUCACACUAUCGUUAACUGAAUACAUAGGUUAACGAGGCGAACCGGGGGAACUGAAACAUCUAAGUACCCCGAGGAAAAGAAAUCAACCGAGAUUCCCCCAGUAGCGGCGAGCGAACGGGGAGCAGCCCAGAGUCUGAAUCAGCUUGUGUGUUAGUGGAACGGUCUGGAAAGUCCGGCGAUACAGGGUGAUAGCCCCGUACACGAAAGCACACAGGCUGUGAACUCGAAGAGUAGGGCGGGACACGUGGUAUCCUGUCUGAAUAUGGGGGGACCAUCCUCCAAGGCUAAAUACUCCUGACUGACCGAUAGUGAACCAGUACCGUGAGGGAAAGGCGAAAAGAACCCCGGCGAGGGGAGUGAAAAAGAACCUGAAACCGUGUACGUACAAGCAGUGGGAGCACCUUCGUGGUGUGACUGCGUACCUUUUGUAUAAUGGGUCAGCGACUUAUAUUCUGUAGCAAGGUUAACCGUAUAGGGGAGCCGAAGGGAAACCGAGUCUUAACUGGGCGUUAAGUUGCAGGGUAUAGACCCGAAACCCGGUGAUCUAGCCAUGGGCAGGUUGAAGGUUGGGUAACACUAACUGGAGGACCGAACCGACUAAUGUUGAAAAAUUAGCGGAUGACUUGUGGCUGGGGGUGAAAGGCCAAUCAAACCGGGAGAUAGCUGGUUCUCCCCGAAAGCUAUUUAGGUAGCGCCUCGUGAACUCAUCUUCGGGGGUAGAGCACUGUUUCGGCUAGGGGGCCAUCCCGGCUUACCAACCCGAUGCAAACUACGAAUACCGAAGAAUGUUAUCACGGGAGACACACGGCGGGUGCUAACGUCCGUCGUGAAGAGGGAAACAACCCAGACCGCCAGCUAAGGUCCCAAAGUCAUGGUUAAGUGGGAAACGAUGUGGGAAGGCACAGACAGCCAGGAUGUUGGCUUAGAAGCAGCCAUCAUUUAAAGAAAGCGUAAUAGCUCACUGGUCGAGUCGGCCUGCGCGGAAGAUGUAACGGGGCUAAACCAUGCACCGAAGCUGCGGCAGCGACGCUUAGGCGUUGUUGGGUAGGGGAGCGUUCUGUAAGCCGUUGAAGGUGGCCUGUGAGGGUUGCUGGAGGUAUCAGAAGUGCGAAUGCUGACAUAAGUAACGAUAAAGCGGGUGAAAAGCCCGCUCGCCGGAAGACCAAGGGUUCCUGUCCAACGUUAAUCGGGGCAGGGUGAGUCGACCCCUAAGGCGAGGCCGAAAGGCGUAGUCGAUGGGAAACAGGUUAAUAUUCCUGUACUUGGUGUUACUGCGAAGGGGGGACGGAGAAGGCUAUGUUAGCCGGGCGACGGUUGUCCCGGUUUAAGCAUGUAGGCGGAGGUUCCAGGUAAAUCCGGUACCUUUUAACGCUGAGGUGUGAUGACGAGGCACUACGGUGCUGAAGUAACAAAUGCCCUGCUUCCAGGAAAAGCCUCUAAGCAUCAGGUAACACGAAAUCGUACCCCAAACCGACACAGGUGGUCAGGUAGAGAAUACCAAGGCGCUUGAGAGAACUCGGGUGAAGGAACUAGGCAAAAUGGUGCCGUAACUUCGGGAGAAGGCACGCUGAUAUGUAGGUGAAGCCCCUGCGGGUGGAGCUGAAAUCAGUCGAAGAUACCAGCUGGCUGCAACUGUUUAUUAAAAACACAGCACUGUGCAAACACGAAAGUGGACGUAUACGGUGUGACGCCUGCCCGGUGCCGGAAGGUUAAUUGAUGGGGUUAGCGGCAACGCGAAGCUCUUGAUCGAAGCCCCGGUAAACGGCGGCCGUAACUAUAACGGUCCUAAGGUAGCGAAAUUCCUUGUCGGGUAAGUUCCGACCUGCACGAAUGGCGUAAUGAUGGCCAGGCUGUCUCCACCCGAGACUCAGUGAAAUUGAACUCGCUGUGAAGAUGCAGUGUACCCGCGGCAAGACGGAAAGACCCCGUGAACCUUUACUAUAGCUUGACACUGAACACUGGUCCUUGAUGUGUAGGAUAGGUGGGAGGCUUUGAAGCGUGGACGCCAGUCUGCGUGGAGCCAUCCUUGAAAUACCACCCUUUAAUGGCUGGUGUUCUAACGUAGACCCGUAAUCCGGGUUGCGGACAGUGUCUGGUGGGUAGUUUGACUGGGGCGGUCUCCUCCCAAAGAGUAACGGAGGAGCACGAAGGUUAGCUAAUCCUGGUCGGACAUCAGGAGGUUAGUGCAAUGGCAUAAGCUAGCUUGACUGCGAGAGUGACGGCUCGAGCAGGUGCGAAAGCAGGUCAUAGUGAUCCGGUGGUUCUGAAUGGAAGGGCCAUCGCUCAACGGAUAAAAGGUACUCCGGGGAUAACAGGCUGAUACCGCCCAAGAGUUCAUAUCGACGGCGGUGUUUGGCACCUCGAUGUCGGCUCAUCACAUCCUGGGGCUGAAGUAGGUCCCAAGGGUAUGGCUGUUCGCCAUUUAAAGUGGUACGCGAGCUGGGUUUAGAACGUCGUGAGACAGUUCGGUCCCUAUCUGCCGUGGGCGCUGGAGAAUUGAGGGGGGCUGCUCCUAGUACGAGAGGACCGGAGUGGACGCAUCACUGGUGUUCGGGUUGUCAUGCCAAUGGCACUGCCCGGUAGCUAAAUGCGGAAAAGAUAAGUGCUGAAAGCAUCUAAGCACGAAACUUGCCCCGAGAUGAGUUCUCCCUGAGACUUUAAGUCUCCUGAAGGAACGUUGAAGACUACGACGUUGAUAGGUCGGGUGUGUAAGCGCAGCGAUGCGUUGAGCUAACCGAUACUAAUGAACCGUGAGGCUUAACCUU
rnacentral:rRNA from 1 species